rnacentral:rRNA from 1 species
GAUGAACGCUGGCGGCGUGCCUAAUACAUGCAAGUCGAGCGAACAGACGAGGAGCUUGCUCCUCUGACGUUAGCGGCGGACGGGUGAGUAACACGUGGAUAACCUACCUAUAAGACUGGGAUAACUUCGGGAAACCGGAGCUAAUACCGGAUAAUAUAUUGAACCGCAUGGUUCAAUAGUGAAAGACGGUUUUGCUGUCACUUAUAGAUGGAUCCGCGCCGCAUUAGCUAGUUGGUAAGGUAACGGCUUACCAAGGCAACGAUGCGUAGCCGACCUGAGAGGGUGAUCGGCCACACUGGAACUGAGAGGCGAGCCAGACUCCGAGGGAAGGCAGCAGUAGGGAAUGGUGCGAAAAGGGGGGAAGCCUGACGGAGGAACGGCGCGUGGGUGAUGAAGGUCUUCGGAUCGUAAAACUCUGUUAUUAGGGAAGAACAAAUGUGUAAGUAACGAUGCACGUCUUGACGGUACCGAAACAGAAAGCCACGGCUAACUACGU